rnacentral:rRNA from 1 species
GUGCCAGCAGCCGCGUAAUACGUAGGGGGCAAGCGUUGUCCGGAAUUAUUGGGCGUAAAGCGCGCGCAGGCGGUUCCUUAAGUCUGAUGUGAAAGGGCACAGCUCAACUGAGGAGGGCCAUUGGAAACUGGGGAACUUGAGGACAGAAGAGGAGAGCGGAAUUCCACGUGUAGCGGUGAAAUGCGUAGAUAUGUGGAGGAACACCAGUGGCGAAGGCGGCUCUCUGGUCUGUAACUGACGCUGAGGCGCGAAAGCAUGGGUAGCGAACAGGAUUAGAAACC